rnacentral:tRNA from 1 species
ACCUGGCUGGCUCAGUGAGAAGAGCGUGAGACUCUUGAUCUUGAGGUCAUGAGUUCAAGCCCCAUGUUGGGUA